rnacentral:misc_RNA from 1 species
AAUCCUGAAAAUCAGGCUCUCCUGGUUAGUGCUUCUUCUUACAAAAGAUAGUUCCAUAUCUCUCACUCCAUUUGUCUCUUAACAUAUGUACCACUGAUUUUACUUGUCCCAAAAUUAUAGUCCUUUGCAGACAGUAAAAGGUUUAUUUUGCCAGUUAAUAUAAAACAUCCUUUACCCCAACUUAGAUUUUACUUCUAAAAUUCCCAACCCAAUUAAAGGAAAGUCGGAGACUUGAUAAAUUUCAUUAUGUGUAUAUGCUUUUAUUACACUUUUGUAAAAUAUUGUGCACUUGUUAAAGGAACUAUCUUUGAGGAACAUGGUGAUUUUUCCAGUUUAAUAAAUUGUCCUAUUAAUUUUAAAAUUUCCUUUUUUUUUUUAAUGAGUGUAGUGAUGUUGCAUUUUCAAUACCAUGUUAUCUUGAUUUUACUAGCUAAAGGUAUUCCAUUUCCAAAAAGCUAUCUGUCUAGUUUGGCUUUUUUUUAUUGUUUUCUUCCCGUCCAACUUAAAUAAAACAAAUUUGAAUGUGUUUGAUGAUCAAAAUUUGGAAGUCUAAAGGCUUUCUUCUCUAUUUGCAUUGGCCCCUGUGAUUUUGAAGAGUGCCAUAUGUGAAUCUAAGAAAAGCUGACAGACAACGUACUCGUGCAUCAAGUGAGCAUCCUGAAGGCCAAUUUCAAUCCACUAAGCUCAUUUUUGCUUAGUUUUCAGAUUAAAAAAAAAUUAUGACU